GAUGAACGCUGGCGGCGUGCCUAAUACAUGCAAGUCGAGCGAACAGAUAAGGAACUUGCUCCUGUGACGUUAGCGGCGGACGGGUGAGUAACACGUGGGUAACCUACCUAUAAGACUGGGAUAACUUCGGGAAACCGGAGCUAAUACCGGAUAACAUUUGCAACCGCAUGGUUAUAACGUGAAAGAUGGUUUUGCUAUCACUUAUAGAUGGACCCGCGCCGUAUUAGCUAGUUGGUAAGGUAACGGCUUACCAAGGCAACGAGAGAUAGCCGACCAGAGAGGGUACGAGGCGUCACUGGAACGGGAACGCGGUCCGGACUCCUACGGGAGGCAGCAGGAGGGAAUCUUCACCAAAGGGCGAAGGCCUGACGGAGCAACACCACGUGAGUGAUGAAGGGUUUCGGGUCGUAAAACUCUGUUAUUAGGGAAGAAGAAAUGUGUAAGUAACUGGGCACGUCUUGACGGUACCUAAUCAGAAAGCCACGGCUAACUACGUG
rnacentral:rRNA from 1 species